rnacentral:snoRNA from 2 species
AAGCAGUGAUGAGUCUAUCCCGAACCUGAGUCUUUGAUGACACACAUAUGGAUCUGACUGCUGAGCU